ensembl:lncRNA
AUCCGCCACGGAUUACUGUGAUCAUGUAUGAACCAAAGAGACCACCAUUCUCACGUAGCCUACACAUUUUCGAAAAGAAGGAUUUUAAAUGUGCUAAAAAGACUGAGUCCCGCUGUAUUAUUCAGGCUGAACUACAGCGUCUAUUCACGGGCGCGAACCCACUACUGAGCAGCACGGGGGCUUUGACCUGCUCCGUUUCCGACCUGGGCCGAUUCACCCCUCCUUAGACGACCUGGUAGUCCCGGGCUCCCCCAGGAGCACCAUAUCGAUACCGAACUUAGCGCGGACACCCGAUCGACAUAGCCCACUGCAGCUCAGAACUCCUGAGCUCAAACGAUCCGCCAGCCUCAGCCUCCCAGUAGCAUGGAUUACAGGCGCACGCCACUGCGCCCGGGGGCUUUGACCUGCUCCGUUUCCGACCUGGGCCGAUUCACC